AGCUCCAAUAGCGUAUAUUAAAGUUGUUGUGGUUAAAAAGCUCGUAGUUGGAUCUCAACAGCCUUGAAGCGGUUAACUUUGUAGUUUUACUGCUUUAUAGGCUGUGCUUUUGCUGGAGGUUUAGGGGUGCUCUUGAUCGAGUGUCUCUGGAUGCCAGCAGGUUUACUUUGAAAAAAUUAGAGUGCUCAAAGCAGGCUAAAAUGCCUGAAUAUUCGUGCAUGGAAUAAUAGAAUAGGAUGUCAUUUCUAUUUUGUUGGUUUUUAAGUUUUGACUUAAUGAUUAAUAGGGACAAACGGGGGCAUUUGUAUUCAGACGACAGAGGUGAAAUUCUUGGACCGUCGGAAGACAAACUACUGCGAAAGCAUUUGCCAAGAGUGUUUUCAUUAAUCAAGAACGAAAG
rnacentral:rRNA from 1 species